rnacentral:rRNA from 1 species
CAGUCAUGCUAGUGAGGAAUCAACCUGAUGGUGUGUGGGUUCUCCCUCGUACUUUCUGGUACAUUUUCUCACCCGGCAGGUUAGCGUCAAUUUUCGGUUAUCAAUAAAAAAUUUGAGAGAAUGUGGCUUUUCUUCGGAAAAGUGUUA